UACGAAGGGGGCUAGCGUUGCUCGGAAUCACUGGGCGUAAAGCGCACGUAGGCGGACUCUUAAGUCAGGGGUGAAAUCCUGGAGCUCAACUCCAGAACUGCCUUUGAUACUGGGAGUCUUGAGUUCGGGAGAGGUGGGUGGAACUGCGAGUGUAGAGGUGAAAUUCGUAGAUAUUCGCAAGAACACCAGUGGCGAAGGCGGCUCACUGGCCCGAUACUGACGCUGAGGUGCGAAAGCGUGGGGAGCAAACAGG
rnacentral:rRNA from 1 species